AGGAUAAUAGUUAAUUUUAACAUUUAACUUGCAUUUAAAAAAUAUUGCCCAGCAAUUUAUCUUA
rnacentral:tRNA from 1 species